rnacentral:rRNA from 1 species
CGUGUAGGCGGUCAGGUAAGUGAGAUGUGAAAUGCCCCGGCUCACCCGGGGACCGGCAUCUCAUACUGCUUGGCUUGAGUACGGGAGAGGGUGUGGGAAUUCCUGGUGUAGCGGUGAAAUGCGUAGAUAUCAGGAGGAACGCCGGUGGCGAAGGCGCACACCUGGCCCGAUACUGACGCUGAGGCGCGAAGCUAGGGAGCAAACG